GUGGGGAAUAUUGGACAAUGGGCGAAAGCCUGAUCCAGCAAUGCCGCGUGAGUGAUGAAGGCCUUAGGGUUGUAAAGCUCUUUUACCCGGGAAGAUAAUGACUGUACCGGGAGAAUAAGCCCCGGCUAACUCCGUGCCAGCAGCCGCGGUAAUACGGAGGGGGCUAGCGUUGUUCGGAAUUACUGGGCGUAAAGCGCACGUAGGCGGUUUUGUAAGUUAGAGGUGAAAGCCUGGGGCUCAACCCCAGAAUUGCCUUUAAGACUGCAUCACUUGAACGUCGGAGAGGUGAGUGGAAUUCCGAGUGUAGAGGUGAAAUUCGUAGAUAUUCGGAAGAACACCAGUGGCGAAGGCGGCUCACUGGACGACUGUUGACGCUGAGGUGCGAAAGCGUGGGGAGCAAACAGGAUUAGAAACCCUUGUAGUCC
rnacentral:rRNA from 1 species